ACCUCUGUCUAAUAGGUGACAAGGAGGGAGCUUUGACAGCCUUUCGCAAGACAUAUGAUAAGACUGUGGCCCUGGGUCACUGACUGGAUAUUGUAUUCUAUCUCCUAAGGAUUGGACUCUUUUAUAUGGAUAAUGACCUCAUCACUCGAAACACAGAAAAGGCCAAAAGCCUAAUAGAGGAAGGUGGAGACUGGGACAGGCAAACCAGGCUGACAGUGUACCAAGGUUUGCAUUGGGUGGCUAUCCGUGACUUCAAACAGGCAGCAGAGCUCUUACUCGACACUGUUUCUACAUUUACAUCCUAUGAGCUCAUGGAUUACAAGACAUUUGUGACUUACACUGUUUACAUCAGUAUGAUUGCCUUAGAAAGACCAGAUCUCAGGGAAAAGGUCAUUAAAGGCGCAGACAUUCUUGAAGUGUUGCACAGUCUUCCAGCAGUUCGGCAGUAUCUGUUUUCUCUCUAUGAAUGCCGUUAUUCAGUUUUCUUCCAGUCGUUAGCGAUCGUGGAACAGGAAAUGAAAAAGGAUUGGCUUUUUGCGCCUCAUUACCGAUACUAUGUAAGAGAAAUGAGAAUUCAUGCAUACAGCCAGCUGCUGGAAUCAUAUAGGUCAUUAACCCUUGGCUAUAUGGCAGAAGCAUUUGGUGUGGGUGUGGAAUUCAUUGACCAGGAACUGUCCAGGUUUAUUGCUGCUGGAAGACUACACUGCAAAAUUGAUAAAGUAAAUGAAAUAGUAGAAACCAACAGACCUGAUAGCAAGAACUGGCAGUAUCAAGAAACCAUCAAGAAAGGAGACUUACUGCUAAACAGGGUUCAGAAAUUGUCCAGAGUAAUUAACAUGUAAAACCAUUUUAAAAUGUAUUCCUUUACAUAUGUUACUUGAAAGCUUUUCUAACUUUCUUCACUGUGUGCCUACUUCAAUGGCAUCAAAUAAAUAUGUCAUUUGUUUAAAAAAA